CACACCCGCCCCGUCACACCAUGGGGAGCGAGUUCUGCCAGAAGUAGUUAGCCUAACCGCAAGGAGGGGCGAUUAUCACGGCAGGGUUCGUGACUGGGGUG
rnacentral:rRNA from 1 species